AUUUUACCUAUUUCUUCUUUCCCUUCCUCUUCCUCUUCCCUCUUCUUCGUCGCCGGCGAACCCAACCCCGACCUCGCUGCGGCGGCGAACCCUCUCCCUCUUCCUCUUCCUCUUCCCCCCUUCUUUUUCCUCUCACUCUUCCUCUUCCCUCUUCUUCGUCGCCGGUGAACUCGAACCUGACCCCGACCUCGCCGACCUCGACCUCGCCGCGGCGGCGAACCCUCUCCCUCUUCCUCUUUCUCUUCCCUCUUCCUCUCCCUCUUCCUCUCCUCCCUUCUUCUUCCACUCCCUUUCCUCUUCCCUCUUCUUCGUCGCCGGCGAACCCGACCCCGCCCUCGCAGCAAACCCCCUCACCUCUAAGCUUCUCCGGCCUCCGCCGCCUCCUUCUUCUUCUUCUUCAUAUCCUCCUUUUCUCCUCCUCCUUCUUCUUUGUCGUCGUCGUCAAUGAUCCGCCGCCGCCCGCUCCGGUGGCCCGAAGAAGAAGAGAAGGAAGAAAAUGGAGUAUUUUUUUAGGGACAUAUUUGUGAUAGCAAAAUUGUCAUUUCAUAAGUAUACUGUUAAAAAAUUAACAGUUUCCUAACAGAUUUUAACCAAAGGGACGUAUCUGCAUACAUUAGGAUAUUUGUAGGGACAACUUAUGAAAAUU
rnacentral:lncRNA from 1 species